rnacentral:rRNA from 1 species
AUUUCCCUACGGGAGGCAGCAGUGGGGAAUAUUGGGCAAUGGGCGCAAGCCUGACCCAGCAACGCCGCGUGAAGGAGGAAGGCUUUCGGGUUGUAAACUUCUUUUCUCAGGGACGAAGAAAGUGACGGUACCUGAGGAAUAAACCACGGCUAACUACGUGCCAGCAGCCGCGGUAAUACGUAGGUGGCAAGCGUUAUCCGGAUUUAUUGGGUGUAAAGGGCGUGUAGGCGGGAGCGCAAGUCAGAUGUGAAAACUCAGGGC